GCGCUGUCUGUGAAGCGUCGUUUGGCCGCUCGAGGCACUCCAGUACUCGAACACGCGUCUCGCUCACCCGACUUGGCACCGUGCGACUUUUACUUGUUACCGAAGAUAAUGUCUGCCUCGAAAGGAAACCCGGAUUUGGGUCGACGGAAGGGGUGAAACGAAAAUCGGCGGAACUCCCGAAUGGUCUUACGAAAAACAGACUUCCAGCGCUGCCUCGAGCAACGGAUGAAACGAACGAGACGGCGUGUGAACAAGGGAAUAGAGUAUAUUGAAGGGGAACGUUCGGUCGCGG